GACUACCCACACCAUCCAUAUUAUUAAUGUUAGCCUUGACAAGAAUAGUGAGAUAACUUUUUGUGAAUUUAAUUUGGUAUACCAGCUGACUCAAUGUGGCAUGCCAAUUGUACUAGGUUCAUAUUGAAGUUCAAGCCUGAAAGAAAAAACAACAUUAUAUCACUGAUCCAGCUGGAGCUUUCAAAUAAGAAUACUUACAAAGCUGCUGCAAUACAGACAUCCUAUGAAGAAAAAUAAGUUUUCCAAACCCAGCAUUCUUGAAAAUGAAGUCUUGGUAAAGUUAUUGCUAUUCUGGGAAUCACUUCUUCAAAAAUUCUCAGCUGAUGGAUUUGAUUUUUUUUUUAUUCUGGCAAUUCUGAGAAGUUCUGGUUCCAGAUAUGUCAUGGGCUUUGAUUUACAUGAACUUGGAUCACUGUUUGGACACUACUUCUUUUUCCUAGGGGAUAGACAUUUUCACUCCUUACUGAGUAUGACAUUGAUUCCUGAAAUAUAUUGAAUCCCCUAUCCACAUAGUAUAUUAUGCAAAGAAAUAAAUUGAAC
rnacentral:lncRNA from 1 species